GGGGUGUUGUGUUUGCGAUCUCUGCCUUGGUACCUAAGGAGGAAGAGGAGGAGGAGGAGGGUGUGUUACUGAAUGGUGGCUAAAGCCUCCUCGGGACGGCGCUGAGGUGAAACAGGCUGAACCCGACUGAUGUGGCUCCUCUCUCGGUUGGACCCAGUGCCCUAAGCAGCCGAUGAGAGACCCCCGGCCGCCCGGCUCGCAGGUUGCACACAUGAAGUGAACAGAGGGGGCUUGAUCCUGCCAGACCCUUCUCGAUAGUCUGAUAAUUAUGUAAGAACACGAAGAAAUGUGAGGGGAAGUAGAACCAUGAAGCAGAAGGAAGUGCACUCACUGGUAAAAAUGAGGUAUCUUUUUAGUGCUGAAAUGGACACGCUAAUUGUGAACUAUGUGGUAAGGAGCUCCUUCUAAAAUAUACAGCAGUGUAUUUACCAGAAUUUAACAGGCUGUGUACUUUAAGGCUUCUCUUGCCUGUAAUGAUGUGAACAAACCUUGCAAGUCACAUUGCCAGCUCAAGAUCCAGCACAGCACGUAACAGCAGCACUGAAACAGCCCCUGCCACUAGGCAAGGGACAGAAAGGAGAUGGUGACCUGCAACGGGAUGAGAGACCUCACUUACCAGGAUUUGCUCACGGUUUUGCUUCUGGCAACUAACAUUUCCAUUUUUCUCAAAGCUUCUACAUUCGUGUCAUCAGACAAACCCCCAUGAGUGGUGGCAGAGCAAACUGUAGCCUUCAUUUUCAAGUUUGAAGAGAAAAAAUUAUUUACAUGUCUAAAUCCCAGAACCAGCUGUUCAGAGGUCACUCUUUGUUGCCCGCUGCUAUGAACCAUUAUGGCUUCCAAAAGCUCUAAAAGAAAUGGGACAUAGUCUGGGGCAGAGAAUUCUCAUUGUUUUAAGUUUGUUUAAAUUCUAUUUCAUUGUAUUAUAUGAUUCUUGUCCUACCAGAGGAACAUGGAAGAUGGGAUGUUUCUGUCAUUGCUUGCACGCAUGGCUACUUAAAUUGACUGUCAGACCUUGCGGGACAGAUCUUUGACCCUUCUUCAGAUUGUUUUAAACUGAAGGACAUGAUAUUUUAAUUGAUUAGAACUCUAGACUAUAUUUAAAGGAAAAUUAUUGAUUCAUGUAAUGAAUUUUACUGUUUAAUCGCCCUUCCACCUCACUAUUUAUAUCUUUUUCGUUACAAAUUUAGGCCAAUGUUUAACUUAAUGUUUUAAUGCUGCCGUGUCUUUUUUUCCCCUUUCCUGUUUUAGACUUGUUUUCGUGAAUCAAACCCUUACAUUUAGUGACAAUUAGUACAAUUCCCAGAUAUAUCACUGUCCUAAGUGUGGGAAUGUAGAUGUCAAGGGGAAACACAAGUAAUGAUUUUUUUUCUUUUCCAUUCACAAUGGAAACACUAAGACAUCAAGGUUAUUCAACAGAAAUGAAUAAAUGCCUGGAAAGUUAUUAUUUUUCCAAGCUGCAAGAGGAUCUCUGAAAUAAUAAAGAUUACAUAAAAAAAAAACCUAGAGAAAUUGUCUAAUUUUCUUUAAAAAAUGAUAGGAAACAACAAAAAAAAAGUCAUUUCACAGUGAAGAAAAUCAUCAGGCAGGGAAAAGAAAGAUUUGCUUGACAGAGCGUUAGGGUAGCUUGAAAGAACAAUCCAGGGCUUGUUCUUUGCUGCUACUUAUGUGUUGGGCAUUUAAUUUUAGUUGCCCUGUCGGCAAAUAGGAGAUGAUAAUUCCCUUUUUGCAGUGUUGUGCAGUCUUUAGAAGUUUCACAAUAAAAGAGAAAAGUGUUUCAUGUGGUAUUUAAAAUUUCCUGUUGGACCUCAUGAUUUUAAAAUAAAAGUUUACACUACACAUCCUGGAGGAGAUGGCUCUCUAGGGCAGUGUAGGCAAUGUUUAAGUGUGGUGUUUUUGGGGUUUACUUCUUUUUGUUGUUUUAUUUUUUAAACUGUUUAAUGGACUGAUUUUUGGUAUCCUCUCUGGAACGUGCAGGUCUCUGGAGACUGAUAGAAAUGAGGGUUGCUUUGAAUAAAAAAGCCUUCUCUGGGAGAUCCCAUCUUCAUCAGAAUUCUGUCAUCCUCACAAAAACUUGAAAUUUAGUAUGGCUCAUAUCUUGUAUUUCAGCUACUAAACAUUUUGUCUGGCUAACAUCUUAAAUGCCAUAGCUUUCCCAUUGGAUACGCAGGCUGAUUUAAUUACUAUUUCUUGACAGAACAAGAUUUU